GUGAAAUUUUUGUCCCUUCAAAACUCACACUUAGUAGCCUUCAGAAACCCUCUCACCAUCAAAGAAGAAACCUCAGUGAAAUUUUUUUGUCUCUUUUUCAAUUUUCCUUUUCUCCAAAACACUUCGUUCGCGAAAGUGCGACACUCAGCUCAUCACCCUGAUCAUCAUAUCGCACUUCGCCACUCAGCUCAUCACCUUCGCCCCCCACUCAGCUCAUCACUUUCGCCACUCUCCGUCGCCACUCACCGUCGCUCCUAUUCUCCGCUCACCAUUCACCACUCAGCAUUCACCACUUGCCACUCACCAUCGCUUCUAUACGCCCUUCUGCAUUGAUCGUCGCUGCAUGCUCCCCAUCGUCGUCUCUGCGCUCGGCAUCGUCCUCUCUGCGCUCACCAUCAUCGAGAAGGUGAACUCGUGGACUGUAGUAGGAAUAGGAGGCUUUACUGUUCGUGGACUUCGUGUCGUAGACUUCACGAUUCUCUUUUCAUCGAAGUGCAGGGGCAUUUGAGUUUUGAAAUACUUUCAAUUCUUAUUAUUAGUCUUCAAUAUGUAGUGCAAGAUCACUUGGAGGAUUUUAAUUGGUGUUGCCAUGGAAUAUGUAAUCCGACAGCCCAUUCCAGAGGUAAGCAGCACUGUAUUUCUCAAAAUUUGGAGGUGAAAAAGUUUUUGAUUGAUGCACUAAUUUAUGAAGUUUUAUUCCUUAAUUUGUCUUCAAUUUUUUAAAACUUUUGCUUCAAUUUACUUGUGUAACUUGAUGUAUUCUUGAACUAUGUGUUAUGUGCAUUGGUGGAGAUUUUUCUACUUGUGUUCAGUGCAGUAAAUUGCCAGUCCUACUUGUAUUCAGUGCUGUGAGAUUUUGCUAAUCAACAUGUUUGCUAGUAAAUUUAGAAGUUCAUAUAGUUCUAAUUUCUACUGUGUUGUGUGCCUGUGUCCUUUCUCGACAUCCAUUUGUUGACUUAUUUUGGUGUUGCAUGUUAUUUUGUGCUUUCAGUUGAUUUCCUGAGAUUUUCAAUUUCUGCUGAGUGUGAUUAGGUGAUUAGGGUUCCUAAUCCCCAUUAUCAAGAACAAAACACAUAGCUCAAGUUGUUGCAGCUGGGCUCAAUCUUCCUUUUGAAGAAGGCCCCCAGUGUAAUGUUAGCCACUCAGGUCCAAUUUCUGCAAGGAAGGCUAUUUAAUUUCACUGCCUGCUUCAUAAUAUUUUUAGCCCUCAGUUAUAAUCUUUCUUUUAUUCUCUUUCACGUAUAUCUGUUUUGAUUAAUCAGUUGUCACUUGAAGUCCAUUUUACUGUACAGGUAGUGGAAGAUCUCUGUGAGUGCUAUUUUGGUCCUUCAUUUGAACUUCUUUCACAUGAUAAGGUAAGUGAGAUGUUUAACGGCACUUUUAUAUGCUCUGCUGAUCACCCUGUACCACCAUAGUAAAAUUGCCAAUUGAAAAAAAAUUUAUGCUAUACUCUGUAAUUAAGGUUAAAUUUAAUUAGGAUUCUAUAUCACAAUUUCAUAUUUAAUUAGGGUUUUUCUAUGUUUGGUUCAAUUUCUGCCGUGCUGUCUGUGUUAGAAGCUUUCUUGUGCAGAAUCGCAUUUGAGCGCUGCUUGUUAUUAUUAGUGUUGAAUUCUAAUUUUGUUCUUUAUUCAAUUUGUCAUGAAUUGACUUUGGUUUUAUUUGAUGGUUUCCUGUGGUUCUGAUUUUAUGGUUCAGUGAAAUUUGAGAGGUUUGGGAUUCCGAUUUAGGGUUUUUAUUUGGGGGUGUUAGCUACUGGAUAUACCACUGAUAGGAAUUGGGGGUUUUAGCAUUAUACUGCAUGAUCAAUGCCGAGCAGCAGACUUUCAUUUUCUCUCAGUGACAUUUAAUCGGAAAAGAGGAGAAACUAUUAGUAAGUGUAGCUUCUGCUAAAGAGCUUCUCUUCAAGUGGUAUUUCAGGGUAACUCAAGAGCUUCUCUUCAUCUUUAUAUUCAUAUUUGGACGGCAAGUACUAAACUUUACCAUUACAGACUAACUGUGAUGCAAAAUGCAUGCUUCCAUUUGGAUUAAGUUAAAGGGUACUUCAUUUUGUACCUUUAUCUAUAUAUGCUAUACCUGCAUGCAAAUGGGCGUUGAAUUCUUUGGAUAUGCAUGGCUUAGUUAGCAUUUAAUUGGUUCAACUGUAUGGACUCUUGAAAUAUAUUAAAAAUAUAUAUAUGAUUUUUUUUCCUACCCAAUUGCAUAGGCAGUCAAAUAAUGCACACUUAGGAAAUAGUUUCUUUUUGAUUCCGUGGUUUAUUCUUCUUAAGUGACUUGCAUAAUACAUAUUAGUGUUUUACAUGUAGAAGAUCAAAGUUUGUGAGAUUGAGGGAUUGUCAAUAGACUAGAAUGUAUUCAUAGCUUCUCCUAACCUGAUCAAGCAUGGUGGGGCUACAGAUUUAAUAUGGUUUAAGGUAUCAAGCCCAUGAACUCCAAGGGAGAAGCUUACCAAAUAAUGCUAUCAACCUUUUUCCUGCAUGAUAAUGAUGAUUAUUAUUGCUGAACAAGUUCUCAUGAAAAAGGAUUGGUAUAAGAAGUGAGGACCUAGAAAAUUCAUUGGAGUUGUUGAUAAAGGGUUGUAGCAUGUCCCUUUCAUUUGCAUUAAUAUAUAUCAUUCAUUUUAACUUGUGCCGGUCAUAUUUGGGAUGUUUGUGUACAAGGCUGCAGUUCUAGUUCAAGUUAAUAGAGACAAUGAAGACUUGCAAUCAGUAUUUCCAGAAAAUGACUUACUCAAUUGAAUGAUAUUUUAUUUGAAGGGAAAUGAAGAGAGCUAUAACCAAAGCUAUUCACCAGAAGAUGCAGCUUUCAUACGUCCAUUUUUAUUUUGUUCAUUCCAAUUUAAGAUUCCGAUCAUAGUUCUCUAUUAAUGAACUGAGUUUGAUUGAGUUGCAAAAGUAAUAUAUGUAAUGUAAUAUGAAUGCAGGCAAUAAUUAGGGGUGUGACAUGGCUUCUACAUUAUUUUUGGAAUGUACACAAUUAGCAUGUUUAUUUGAUUCUCGAUUUGGUAAUGAAUUUGUUUGAAGUUAUUUAUUAUGAUGAUGAAUUGUUGAUUUGCUGCAGAUUGAGCAUUAAGAUCCAGUUGCAUCUGAUGCAUUCCAUGAAUGGUAACCGCCGAUGAUUUAGAUCGAGUCUCCAUUUGGAACUAGGAACACCGCCAAUGCUGUAGUCGGAUAUUGGUCAUUGUAUUAAUAAGUUUCCUAUAAAAAUAAAUGACUACUAGGUUUUUGUAUUGUUCGAAUGUACAUCUAGUUAGGUAACAACAGAAAUAUUUAAAACUGAUGCGAUCGCUCUGUAAUUUCCAGGUAAUUUCCAGUUAUUAUGAGAACUAGUUGUAUUUUA